rnacentral:rRNA from 1 species
GUUGAACGCUGGCGGCAGGCCUAACACAUGCAAGUCGAGCGGAUGAGGGGAGCUUGCGCCUGGAUUCAGCGUCGGACGGGUGAGUAAUGCCUAGGAAUCUGCCUGCCUGGAGGGGAUAACGUCUGGAAACGGGCGCUAAUACCACCUACGUCCUGCGCGAGAUGGUUGGUGGUGUUCGGACCUCACCGUAUCAGGUGAGCCUAGGUGGGAUUAGCUAGUUGGUUGGUUGAAUGCCUACCAAGGCGGGGAUCCGUAACUGGUCUGAGUGGCUGAUCAGCCACCCGGGAAGGGAACCAGGCACCUGACGCCUAAGGGAGGCAGCAGUGGGGAAUAUUGGGCAGUGGGCGAGAGCAUGACCCAACGGUGCCGAGUGUGUGAAGACGGUGUCCGGAUCGUAAAGCACUUUAAGUUGGGAGGAACCGCAGUAAGCUAAGACGUUGCUGUUUUGACGUUACCAACAGAAUAAGCACCGGCUAACUACGUG